AAACAAAUAAAAAUAAUUCCUUACUUAGACGGAACGAUUGAAUAAACCUGUAAAACUCGCCACUAUUAUUAUGGGCACAAAUACGUUGUUGAAUUUAACUUACCGUUUUUCAGAAAUUUUAAGAAUACUAGAGGCAUUCCUCAGAUGUCUGUUACGCUUAAUUUCCAUAAUUUUACGCCUUCUUUUGGCUUCAAAACAAGCAAUUGAAAAACUAAAUGGCAUUUUACAAUAUUUAUAAAUUUUCAAUAAAAUCCUCUCAGAUGCUUGUCAGCUGUUUAGAAUGAGGAAACAAUGGGAAAAUAUCGAUAACAAAAUUUGUGAAAUUGGGAGCACACGAAUUCACUUUCAGGAAAUUUUUAAAAUCACAUUGUGAAAUUGAAAUGUGAAACUGAGAGCACGGCUGUACGUGUUUUGAAAAGACAAAAAUACAUACUGUGUUGAUAAUCAUUUACUUGCGAUUUUUCUAAAUUAUUUCAAUGUAACGCAGCUUGAUAAACAACAUUUUUUGGUUUCUGUUCCGAUGCGUAAAUGUAGAGAGAAGAUAGUUUUCCAACUCGUGAGCACGCCACGUAUUUUUGGCCGUGUUCCAAAUUUAUGCCACAAAUUUCUAGUGACUAUCCUUGUAUCCUGAUGAUUGUCAUCUCAAAUGAAAUUUUUACUGGAAACGGAAUCCGUUUCGACUGAAAUGGAAAUCGAUAGAACUCAAAGGGAUUCGUAGAAUCAAGCAUUCUGCCCCCAUGUAUUCGAUAGGUGCGUCACAAUCAGUCGGGUUCCAUUACACAGUUUCGGCGCUUGCAGAUUGCGAAACAUAAUAACGACAGAUCCAACUUUGAGACGCAAAUGAUGCGGCGGCAUACCAAGCCUCUCCAAAGAAUUUAGAAAUUCCACUGGAUAAUUCAAUUCAUUGUCAAGACGAUCGAUCGACUUGUAUGAGCGCAAGUCUCCCGGAAUUUGACUUUGAAUCUUCCAGUUUAAGUCAACAUCAUCGGUAUUUUUGGCAGCUAUCAUCGAAUUAAUCCAUUUUCAAUUCUUAGCGAAUACGAUGUAAAAUGUCUUCGUCAAUGUAAUUUUUGUUCAUAUCCCAUAAUUGACGCAGAUUUGAAGGCUGAAAUGUUGAAUCGAUCAUCGCGAAAAGUGUGCGAACUUUAGUGGCAUGCGAAGUAGCCAUCGCAUCGUCCAUGAUUUGAUUCUAGCGAUUAUCAUGUUCCAGCAUUAUAAUUGCUGGCAUGCUUCUCAAAAAGUUGCACACACCAUACCAUUCACAGUACGCAGGGACUCAAAUGAAGUUGAACCGCGUACAUUAAUCAAUAGCAACCGAAGGUAGAAACAAUCGUCGUUUUUCGGGUGGGUUGUGCAAAUUCGUCCUAAUGCAUUAGUUGAUAACACACCCGGAUGUUAACCUACUGGUUGACCUUGCUUUCUGCGUAAUUAUUUCUUUGACGAUUUUGAGCCAAAACUCGUAAAUGUUAAUUUUGGUGCUGGCGGUGUUUCCACUGGCUGUACUGUAUUCCCUGGGUUGAAAUGCACUCUUUGGCCAUUCUCCAAAUUAACGUUCAUGAAAGUAAAUAUCCUACAAAGGGCUUUAUUGCAGUUGACGUAUCGACCGUAUCGUUCAAGACCAAUAACCGCCAUGUUGCUUCCUUUGGUGACGUACUUACAAACGUAUUUUAUCGAUUACACCAAAUUGCAAUACUGAUAUGAGCGUUGAAAGUGAAUUAAACAAUAAUGGUGAAUAUGGUCACUCUUCUAAAUUGAAUGCUGAAUAUUCUGCCAUUGUCGUCUGGUGAGUGACGCCGAUAGAGUGGAUAACCAUCAUUUUUUAGUUUGUGUUUCCGAAAGAAAAGCACGUGGAUACUGUUUCGUGCGUUUGUUUUCAGAUAUACAAAACAAACGCAGUGGGAUUGUGGUGUUCGCAAGGUCCAUGAACCUUAUUGGUUUUCAUCACUUCGUACAAUACUGAAUCUUUCUCUGCACCUGGAAUUUCCACAUGGUUGAAUGGUUUCAUCAAUUUGGUCUGGUGUAACCACCAUCCACCAUCCACAAUCCAAAGAAGAAUGUGUGCGUGCGCAAACCCUUCUUUUGCCAAUCAACAGAGUACAUCUAGCAUCUAACAGCACCAUAUACACGUAGCUUCAAAGUAAAGUCCAUCCGAGCUGUUGCUUGAAAAGUUUUGCUGUGACAUCGUGACGAUCGCAUGCUGAUUGACCGCGAUUCAUAAUUCCACACGUACAUAUGUAUGUCAUCGUAUCCUGGGAGUACUCGUUCAUGUGCCUUGGGCUGCUAAUGUGUGUUGAUGCUAAAGAGAACGCCGACCGAUAUUAGCGCGACCUCUUCGUGGCAUCGUAACAAAUUUUUGGAAUUGUCCAAGUUUCCGACUAUUCCUCACGAAAGGCAUACAGGUUUUUUAUUUCUAAACCUUCCUUGAUCCACAACGAACAACCUCUGAAAAUUUCAUCAAUAUUGGUUCAGCCGUUCUCUUAGCGUUAGUAAUGAACAAACAUUAAUUCGUUUGUGUGAGAAAAAGAAAAGGGCUGUUUUUAGGGGUUUUCCGGCAAUUAUUCGAAUUUUUUUCUCCGCAGAAACCAUCCCUGAACCUCAACGAACAUUUUAAAGAAAGAAUAAUCAAAUUUGGUUCAGUCGUAUGAAAGUUAUGAGCGUUUCAUUUUUAUUUAUAUAGAUUUAAUGAUUGAGAGCUAAAAAGCUUAAAUCCUUUAAUUGGGUAUUGAAAGGUUAAAAUUCAGUUCUUCUAAUAUACUUUAAACAGAUUUAAAUAGUUUCUCCAUAUAUUAAAUAACCACUACAUAGUAAUUUUUAUUCGUACUAAAUGUUGGGUGUUUUAAUUUAAAAUGCCCAAAAAUUCUUAUUUUGUUCGAUCUAGCCAUAAUGGAAAAUGUUAUAAAAAACUCUUAUUUUGAGGUGCUCUCGCACUGGAAUAAGUUGGACAUCCCUUUAUUCCUGUUUUUACCAUAAACACACAAACAAUUCGUACGUACUUAUGUAAAUAGCGCAUUGAUCUCUUCAACGAGCUCUCAAUUGCACAAAACAUAAUGGAAGGCAUAUACGCAACAAUUAGUUGGUUGAUUGAGUUGGGCUAGAAAUUGCCCUUGUCAUACGACACAACUUUUAGCACAAUUUUGAGGCAAACUUCAUUUUGAAUAGUAUUCACUUCGUUGCUUAAACAUGAGUUCGGAGGUGUUGCAUUACUUAUUAUAAAUGAAGUUUUAGCGGCUGAAGAAGAACAGGAGCAAAAAAAAAUUCGGAAAAAAAGAAAAUGGUCUAAAAUGUGGUUGCAAAAUAAAAAUGAAUUUUCAAAUAACAAGUGUUUGAAGACGUUGAGAGAAACCGAGCCAAAGGACUACAAGAAUUACAUGAGCAUGAGCGAUGAAGUGUUUUAUGAUCUUCUCUUGAAAGUGAAAGUUUUUAUUGAAAAAAAGACACAAUAAUGCGAGAAGCAGUUAGUGCAGAGAAUCGUUUGGCAAUAACUUAAAGAUUUUUGGCUACCGGAAACUCAUUUGAAGACCCAAAAUUUUCAAUCGCAAUAUCUGCGAGACGUGCGAGGCCAUUACAAAAGUUCUAAAAAACUCAAUUAAGGUAGUAUUAAAAGAAUAUCCGAGUUAUACAUUUUAUUUAACACAAAAUAUACAUAUUUUUAGCUUCCUAAAACACCUGAGCAAUGGAUGGCUGUAGCUGAUCAAUUUUAUGAGGAGUCGAUGUUUCCCAACUGUCUAGGCGCGCUCGAUGGAAAGCACAUAAAUAUUUUACGUCCUCCUAACUCCGGUUCAUUCUAUUUUAAUUAUAAAAAGACAUUCAGUAUUGUCUUGUUGGCAAAUGUUGACAGCAACUCUAACUUUUUAAUGGCGGUUGUAGGUGCAAAUGGACGAAUUUCCGAUGGAGGCGCUUUCGGAAAUUCGAUUUUUUUUAAAAAGUUGGAAAGUGGAAGUUUAAAUUUACCGGAACCACAAGCAGUGCUUGCAGACGAAUAUUCACUCCCUUUUGUGUUUGUGUCGGAUGCGGCUUUCGCUUUGAGGAAAAAUGUUUUAAAACCAUUUGGUCACAACAAUUUGACAGAGAAUGAAAUGCUGUUUAACAAAACUCUGAGCUCAGCACGGGUUAAAGUUGAAAACAAUAAAUUUAUGUCCUGAAAAAGUUGCUACUUACACAACUACUUACGGUGCCAAAUCGAUUUGAAUGUGAAAAUAUUCAGCUAUCAGACAUGGAACCAACGCUGACUAAAAAUGCAUCUAAUGAGGCCAAAACAACAAGGUUGAAAUAUUGGAAAAUUAUCGAAAUACUGAAAUCUUUUUAAUUCCUUUUAUUUACAUAUAAAAUAGUUAAGUUAGUUGUGUUCUUUAAAUAAAACUUAUAUUCAUUCUCUUAUAACUAAGACAUAAAAAAAUAACUAAAAAUAAUAAUUUAAACAAAAAAUGAGAAAAAUAAAAUAUAUGUACUCUAUCUUAAAUACAUAUGUUUUAAUUCGUUGAUAUUGCGAGACAUUAAACAAAUCAAGAACACUUGUAUGUUGACUUUCGCUUGCAUCUGAAAAGUGUAACUCUGGAGUUAUUUCAAUUGUUUGUGAAGUUUAUUGUAUGUAUGGGUUGAUUGUAUCCAGUUGGCACAUAAAUAAAACGUUGCGAAUGUGAUGUUGAUUCUAUAGGACUUCUAGUAGGCACAGAAAUAAAACGUUGCGAAUGUGAUAUGGAUUCUGUAGGACUGCCGAGCGUGAUGUUGAUUCAGUUGGACUGACAGAAGGUGUCGAAAUAUAAUGUUGCGAGUCAUUACUUAAAAAAGGCGAGCUGGUUCGUGAUACAUGCGGACUACUUAAAUUUGGUGAGCUUGAAGGACUGUGCAGAUAACUGAAACAUAAUUUUCCAAAUCGGCCCAACAACAUUACUUCAUUUACUGCUUGCAAAAAAUUGCUGCGCUGGUUUCAUUUGCCUGUACAUGCAAGCUCAUGUCUUUGCAUAAGUUUCUGCUUCAUCCAUUUGUUUUUUGGAAGUCUCCAAAUGCUCGGUUGCUUUUUUUAGAAACUCCGUUCUUUCGGUAGCCACUUUUUAAAAUUUCAUCGACGAUUGCUGGGUAAAAAAACAUAAUCUCAUAAAUAAAAUCAAUAAAACUUUUAAAUAUUUCAACAUACCACGCGAACGAACCCUUCUUCAUCGUCAUCCGAACUAAUGGAUAUUACAGCAGGCAUAGGUACUUCCAGGUCUCGCAAAAAGUCGAGCUUAUCGAAAUACCAUAGAAGUGAAACGUAUAAUUCAUCAGCUCCUGCACCAGAUGUUUGACUUUGUAAAGUUUUCUUCAGCUCCCGGCGAUAGCAAGUACGUAUAUUUGACAUUUUUUUUCAUGUCCUCUAUCGACGUAUCGCUUUUUAUUUUUUUAAAUUCUAACAAAAGUUUUUGGUAGCUUCUAUGGCGUACAUUUUUGUUUGCUGUUUCACAACUCCGGCAUAGUUUUAUAUACUUCGAUAAAUUCGCGGAUUUGCCGAUCGCUUUCACUCAUUUUUAUUUGUUCUUUGCUCCGUGGACGCGCUCUCUUUGACAGCCGAAAUAACCCAAACACUAUCCAACUAACACAACCAACUUCACAAAAUAUCAAAAAAUUUUCAUUUUCAUCCAAUCAGUUGAUACAACUGCCCCAUAUACGUAACAAUCAGUUGGAACAAUUCGAUGAAAUUGGUACAAUAAUUGUUGCGUGUAAGCCUUCCAUAAGUACCUACAAAAACAAGUACAUACAAGCCAAGUAUUAGGGUGUGCCUAUAUACCGAUAUAUUAAUAAAAAAUAAAAAAAAUACAAAAAUGGUUAAUGACGACACAAAUCAGAACACACCUGGAGCUACACGCUCAAAACAGGUUGUAAAAUUUAUUUCACAAAGUGACAGUUUAUUAAGAUACUGCACUAGAUUUGCCGCUUCAUCGAUUCAUGAAAACUCUGAAUCGUUAUUGGAAAUCAAAAAUCAAAAUCUUAAAAAAUUUUUGACUCGCCUCCAAGCCUUAUUAUAGAUGCUGACGAUUCAGAUACACACAAUUUCAAAUCCUCGGCUUACAUUAUAUACGAAAACUGCUUAGACCAGUACGAAGAAACAAAAGCUAUGAUCUCCGAUCAACUAAAGCUCAUUAAAUCAAUUGCACCUACUCCCCACAGUAGAGUGGAGCUGCCACAAGUUCAGGCAUCCACCUCGAGGUGCCCGCAUGUGACACAGAAACAUUUUAUGGAAAUUAUGAAGAAUGGCCGUCCUUCCGGCACAAAAAUUGUAUCACCUCCGAUACAAGACCAAAGGUCAAGCAGGCGUCAUAGUAAAAUAGUUCGCUCUUAAUGAUGAUAAUUUCAAUUUGGCGUAGGAAGCUCUAAAAGCUAGAUAUGAAAACGAAAGAUUACUGGUCGAUAAACAAGUAACGACACUAAUGAACUUGCCAAAAAUUAAGAAAGAAACAAGUGUAGAAUUCAUCAAACUAGAAUCCGCUGUUUCUAAUUGUCUGUCGGUCCUAUCGACACUAAAUAUCCCCACAGACAGAUGGGUCCCUAUUCUGGUAAAUAUAUGCACCGCUGCAAUACCAUUAAAAUCGUUACUUUUGUGGGAGCAAUCGCUCUCAUCACGAAGAAAGUGCCCAACGUGGCAACAAAUGAAAGAUUUUCUCACCACCAAAUAUGAAAUUGGGGAAAGGUUAGAAGAAAAAAUAAUCAAAACUAAGAACAUUAAACACGACCUCAAUAUUAACUUCAAUAGACCCCAAGCUAGAAGCAAAAACAAAUCAAACAUAAUUUUUCAAAAAACCCAGUCGUUCACAUUCGAACAAAGAAAACAUACGUCAUGCGAACUAUGCACAAGAGGGCAUAAGCUUAAAACUUGCGAGAAGUUUAAAAAAUUAAACAUUAACGAAAGGAACAACUUUGCCAGAUCAAAAAGACUCUGUACAAACUGCUUGUCCCAUACACACAACCUUAAAAGUUGCAAAAGCAAAUUUAAUUGCUCAUAUUGUCACAAAAGACACAAUUCAAUGCUUCAUUACAGCAGAUAUUCGAUCUCACUCCAAAGAAGCGCUUUUACAAAAUUAACCACGGGUUUAAAUACAAAAGCAAAUCACGAAUCCCAAAAGAGACACCAUGCUGCUCAAAGGCACGCAAAUCUCAAAUACUGCACAAAGAAACACAAAGUGGACUAGUUACAGAACUAGUCACCACCAUACCAACUCAACUUGAGUAUAAUAAAAACAAAUUUCUCAAUUAAGGAAAUUUUAAAACUUAAAGAAACUUCCGUCCAUAACUACUCGAUCAAAUAAUAUUUUUUUUUACUUUUUCAGUAUUAAUAACUUUUGAAGUCGAAUAAUUUAAGUAAAUUUUUAUAUAAAUAUGUAUGUAGAGAAAUUCAAUUUUAAUAAAUAAGUAAGCAACUGAUGAAAUUAACAUAUUUAUUGAUUGUUCGCAUUCGUCAAUAGUUUAAAGAUUGUUCGUCGCCUCAUCUCCUUUUUUUGGAACGAGCAAUUGGUAAAGAAUCGUCAAUAUCGUCCUCCGAUUCAUCAGGUUGGUAAACGAAGUAACCAUCUUGUUGAAGUAUACAGUUUUGGAACAAUGUACAACAAAUAAUCGAUUUGUUAACUUUUCGCAUACCAUUUACAUUCAAUUCCAUUUACAGUUCAAUUCGAAUUCUAUGUCGACUGUGGACUAUAUUAAAAAAAUUCCUUUCCCUAUGAGUUAAAUUUUUGGAAUUCUUUCUAAAUGCCAUAAUAACACUACUAGUACGUUUUUCGCUGGCAGAGAUUUCAUUGAACUAUUUGUUUUCUUUUGCAAGGGUUCAUGCUCUUUCUGAUGGAUAAUAUUUUUUUGUUUUUUCCGCAAGCAUAUUUAUCUUUUUUGUACAUCAUGAGUUGUAUGCCGCAAUAUCGACAAAAUGCCAAAAUACCUUCAAAGGCCGGUCCUUGUGACAUUUACUACAGUGGCCAUAUAAAGGAGCGCAGGUUUGGUGUGGGAUUCGUGGUGGGAGAGAGACUCCGUCGCCGAGUACUAUCAUUCACUGCGGUGAAUGAACGUCUAGCCACAAUCCGCAUCAAAGCGAGGUUCUUCAACAUAUCGCUGAUUUGCGCCCACGCCCCGACGGAAGAGAAGGACGAUGUGACCAAAGAUGCCUUUUAUGAGUGCUUGGAGCGCACUUAUGAGAGAUGCCCCCGUCACGAUGUAAAAAUCGUGCUUGGCGACUUCAACGCCAGGGUGGGCAAAGAAGGUAUCUUUGGUACUACGGUCGGUAAAUUCAGCCUCCACGACGAAACAUCCCCAAAUGGGUUGAGGCUGAUCGACUUCGCCGGGGCCCGGAAUAUGGUUAUCUGUAGUACUAGAUUCCAGCAUAAGAAGAUCCAUCAAGCUACCUGGCUGUCUCCGGAUCGAAAAACUACCAACCAGAUCGAUCAUGUUGUGAUAGACGGAAGACACGUCUCCAGUGUUUUAGAUGUGCGUGCGCUCCGAGGUCCUAACAUCGACUCGGACCACUAUAUUGUUGCAGCCAAGAUUCGCACUCGCCUCUGUGCAGCAAAAAACGCACGCCAACAAACACAAGGAAGGUUCGACGUCGAGAAGCUGCAAUCACAAUAGACAGCCGAACGAUUCUCUACUCGGCAUGCACUCCUGCUCUCUGAGAGCACUCGUCAACAACUCGGUAUAAGGGAACUGUGGGACGGCAUUUCAAACUCUUUACGUACAGCUGCAACCGAAACCAUUGGUUUUCAGAAAGUGCAAAAGAACAGCUGGUACGACGAGGAGUGCCGUGUCGCAGCGGAGAGAAAACAGGCUGCCUACCUCGCAACGUUACGAUCGACCACAACACGUGCGGGAUGGGAUAGAUACCGAGAGUUGAAGAGGGAAGCGAGACGCAUUUGCAGACAGAAGAAGAAAGAGGCCGAAAUGCGUGAGUACGAACAGCUGGAUAAGCUGGCCGACAGGGGUAAUGCUCGAAAAUUCUACGAAAAGAUGCGGCGGCUUACAGAAGGUUUCAAGACCGGAGCAUACUCUUGUAGAACCCCCCAGGAUGAUCUAGCCAUCGAUGCCCAGAGCAUACUUAAAUUAUGGAGGGAACACUUCUUCAGCCUGCUGAAUGGUAGUGAACGCUGAAUGGUAGUGAACGCACAACACCAGGAGAAGGCGAACCCGAUACCCCAAUCGAUGACGAUGGAGCAGACGUUCCAUUGCCCGACCAUGAAGAAGCUCGAAUAGCAAUUGCCCGCCUGAAAAACAACAAAGCGGCAGGAGCCGACGGAUUGCCGGCCGAGCUAUUCAAACACGGCGGCGAAGAACUGAUAAGGAGCAUGCAUCAGCUUCUUUGUAAAAUAUGGUCGGACGAAAGCAUGCCCAACGAUUGGAAUUUAAGUGUGCUAUGCCCAAUCCAUAAAAAAGGAGAUCCCACAAUCUGCGCCAACUACCGUGGGAUUAGCCUCCUCAACAUCGCAUAUAAGGUUCUGUCGAGCGUAUUGUGUGAAAGAUUAAAGCCCACCCUUUCAAAGAAGCAACACUAAAACGCCAUUGUAUUAUUUGCAACACUGGUUUGCAAAUUAUCAGCUGUUGUCAAAAAGAAAAGCAAACAAAGAAAAGAGAUGGAGCAAACAGGUUUAAACAAAAAAAGAAUUAAACGUGAAAAAACCGAACAAAAAGUGGAGUGAAAAAGAAAUCCAGAGUAUACAGGAUUUCUUGCAGGAAGCUCCAGAAGUAGAAGUAAGUGAUUUAAGUGAUUAAUUUCAACAAUUUCUGUAACAAUAAUUUUAAUUUUAAUAUGCACCAACAGCUCAAAUUUUUUAUAAAAAGCUCAUUGAGAGCACAAAAAUAGACGCAACGUGGGAUUUAAUACGGUGGAAAGUGCGACACCUGAAGGCUUCAUACAAAAGAGCAAGCGAUUGGCGAAUGUCAACAGGAGCAGGCCUUCUUUAGUCUGAAGCCGCGACGUCGAGUGUUGAAGGUAAGCGUAAUGAAUGCGACAAAAUUUUGUCUAAUGUUUAUAUUUCAGGCAAAGUGUUGCAGAUGUGCCCACACUUUAAUCAGCUUAAACAUAUUUUUGGGAAAAAAGCCACAAGUGAAUUACCAUUUGAAGUGGUUGAUAGUGGCAGUACGUCCAUAAUGAACGAAAGCGCGGCCAGCCAAAUCCUGCAAAUCACUUUUUCUGAUGUCGGCGAAGAAAUUGCGUCUCCAAUUGACAUUGCCAAUAUUGAAAAUCUACCACCUGGCAAUGUAAGUGAAGUGAUUGUUCCCGAAAAAGCAAAAGAUUUCGUGGAAAAAAUUAAAAAACAUGUCCCAAAAUCAUCUGCUGCAAAUCUUGUUGCUUUCAAGUCGAGCGUAGGCAAAUGUUUAAAAUGAAAAUGGAAUGGGAAAAAGAGAAACAUGAAAAAGAUCACGCUUUGAAUGAAAGAAGAUUGCAAGCAGAAAUUGAAAGAGGUAAAGCUGAAAUAAUAUUCAAGAACUGUGAAUUGGACUUAAAAGUCUUAGAAUUGGAAAAGGAUGAACGAUUGAAAAAACUUCAAAUUGAAAAGGAGGAACGCUUGCAAAGGUUCGAAAUUGAAAUGAAAUAUAAGUAUUCCUCUCACCAGUAAUUUUUCUGUACUUUAUUUAUCUCUAUUUAUUUAUCUUAAUUUAUUUAUCUCUGUACUUUAUUUAUCUUUGUAUUUUAAAAUAUGUAGUUCCAAUUACUGUUGAGAUGAAUACUUAUUUAAUACGGUUUUUGAUUUUUUACUAUCUUCUGUCAUUCAAAGCGUUAUCAUUUUCAUGUUUGUCUUGUACUAAAUACUUAAAUUAAAACAACCAUUUAUUUUGUAUACAAUAGUUUAAUGUAUAUAUGUAUGUAUCUUUUUUAUGUUUGGCUUAUACUAAAUGUAUAAAUAUAUGUAAUUAUAAUUAUUAUAUAUGUAAUUAAAAACUGAAAAAUGAAUUAAAAUACAUUUAAGAAAACAUUAAUGCGUAUAUGGCUUGUCUUUUAGUUUCUCCAACAUUAUUGGGUACAUGCUCAUCAAGCUCAAUAUAAUCUUCGGUAGUAGUUGAUGGAUCUGAACCAUCGUCGAACGAAGUGGAACCAUUAUUAAUUAAAAUGUUGUGGAGAAUACGGCAGACAAGAAACCAAUCGCAGCAUAAUUUAUGUUUUUUUUGUUUUACUAUGUUCAGACCGAAAAUUUCAAAGAUUAGAUUACAUUUAAGCAUUUCAUAAUCCAACAGUGUUCUCACUGCCGUUAGAAAGAUCAAAAAACAGCUGUUAUUGUCAUUCAUGAAUUCACAUCGCUUAAUAUUUAUCAAAAGAAAAGAUUGUCAUAUAGUAUUUUGAAAUAAAAGCCGUCUUUUUUUAAUAUUUUCCAUAUAAUAGAAAUAA